AGAGACAGCAGCAGCCGCGGGAAUACGUAGGGUGCGAGCGUUAAUCGGAAUUACUGGGCGUAAAGCGUGCGCAGGCGGUUCGUUAAGACAGAUGUGAAAUCCCCGGGCUUAACCUGGGAACUGCAUUUGUGACUGGCGUGCUAGAGUAUGGCAGAGGGGGGUAGAAUUCCACGUGUAGCAGAGAAAUGCGUAGAGAUGUGGAGGAAUACCGAUGGCGGAGGCAGCCCCCUGGGCCAAUACUGACGCUCAUGCACGAAAGCGUGGGGAGCAAACAGGAUUAGAUACCCCCGUAGUCCCUGUCUCUUAUAC
rnacentral:rRNA from 1 species